CAAACGGGAGGAAGGGAGGAAGAGCAGCCCACGAUCUUUCACCCUUAACUCCUCCCUUCGCCCUGUCUCGGAUCUCUUGCGCUUGAUUGGAUGAAAACUACUGUCGUUCCUUCGGUUCUGCUUUGUGAUUGCUCACUGAUUGGAGCAGACGUCGUUCGGUUGCUACGUCUCGCCUACCGCGGCGGGUUGAGUGGGUGAAUCGGUGCGGCCGCUGGUUGUGCAGUGCCCGCUCGCCAGGGGGCGGAGAUCGGGGGUGCCCGGCCGGGCCCCGGCCGCCCUAGGGUGUGAAAACAACAAUGGAGCGAUUUGGAGUGAAAGCUCCUCCUUCCCGUAACCGUUCUAAGACGGCUUUGUAUGUGACCCCUCGGGAUCGUGUAACCGAGUUUGGGAGUGAACUGCAUGAAGAUGGAGGGAAAUUGUUCUGUACUUCCUGCAAUGUGGUCCUGAAUCACGUUCGCAAGUCUGCAAUCAAUGACCAUCUCAAGUCUAAAACUCAUACAAAGCGGAAGGCAGAGUUUGAAGAGCAGAGUGUCAGAAAGAAGCAGAGGACUCUGACUGCUUCUCUCCAAUGCAACAGUGCUACUCAGACAGAGAAAAUCAGUGUCAUCCAGGACUUUGUGAAGAUGUGCUUGGAAGCUAACAUCCCACUUGAGAAAGCUGACCAUCCAUCGGUGCGAGCUUUCCUGUCUCGCCACGUGAAGAAUGGUAGUUCCAUUCCGCAGUCAGAUCAGCUAAGGAAAAUGUACCUGCCUGAUGGAUAUGAGAAUGAGAACCAGCUCCUCAGUACAGAAGACUGUUGAGAAGAUGACUAUUUUCGGGAUGGAGUAUUAAAGUUACAUAUUGAUGGUGUGGUUUAUUUUUAUAUUCAUGCAUACACAGUGUUAUAUAUUGGUUUUACAGCUUAUUUUGUAUUACUGUCGAAAUGACAAUCUAUCACCAAAAUUAAUGAUGUGCCACAGACUCUUGAUAAUCCUACUGUAGAGUUUAUAUCCACUGUGAUUCAGAACUCAUUUUCAAGGUAGGGAACAUCAUAUUGCUGACUAUGUAAAGGCCAACCAUAACUGUGACAUUAACAAACGCUCACUUGUGCAUGGGAGACUUCCUAUGCCAACUCAAUCACCAACAUGACAUCUUCAUUACGCAAGAAAAGACCAAACAGUAGGAAUUACUUUACUACAUCAGACCGAUGGACCAUCUUUGUCCAGUAUUCUGUCUCUGUCAAUGACCAGGAAUAAGUCCUGUACUGUUAGAGUGCAAAAAGUCAUAUAAUGGCCAAUUACAUAGUAACCUGCACACAGAAGCAAAUUCUAACUGCUAGUAAAGGUUGACUUAUGCCUUGCAGCAUGGGGACUUAUAUCCUUUUUAAGAACACUUUUUAUCCUAUCUCAUGUAACUCUGGAUGUCUAUCUAAAUACCUAAUUAUGGCUUCACUCUUCUCUUAAAGCAAGGAGUUCCAUAGGUUUGUUACACAUCGCAUAAAAGAAAAAGCAGUUUCUAAUCUCAGUUUUAAAUUUGCUGUCUUGCAGUUUCAAUGCGCCUCCUUAUAGUAAGCCGACAGACUAGUGUCUUUGAGCAAGGUGCUGGCCUAUGAAACACAUGCCUGAUCACAGUCACUUAUACUGUAUUUUGCUAUGUGUUGCAUAGCAUGGCAGCAGAAGCAGAACAUCUUUUUAAUCUGUUACCUAUAAACCAGAACCCAGCUGGAACUGAUCAGGACACGGGAGCUGCAGUUCAAGAGCCCUACUUGAGGAUGGGGUCACUUAAGCUCUUGCACUCAUAUCCUUUUCCUGGGUCUUGUGCUUGUUGCAGACUAAGUGACCUCAAUGUGUUUUUUAAAACAGUUAAUGUUGAUGCCAAAUAGCUCAUGUAGCUAUGAGGUAAGUGUACCGAAAAGGACGCAACAGUAGAAUAAGUCUUACCUGGGUUUCAGUGCCACAUUCACUGGAUCAUAAAAAAAAGGGAAUUACUGUGUUUCAGUAAUGUAUUAUCUCUUUCUCUAAAUUGUGUAAUUCUCAACCCUUUUCACAUCUUUUUGGGGGGACUUGUGUUUUGCCUAAAUUAAGUAUGGUGGUAGCCCACUAAACUUUAGGGUCCAAGAAAGCUCUUGGGUGAGGAGAGAGAGAAUAUUGUGCAGAGGGAAGUAACACAACUGCAUUUUCUGCCUGCCUCCUCUGGGCUGGGAUUCUGUGAGGUGCUGAGCAUGUCCUAGGCAGUGCAGCAUGCCCUCCAUUCACCAUAAGUGUGCUGUCUCAGGUUUAGCUCCUAUUUUGCUGCUUUUUCCCUGUCUUGGUUUUCACUAACUGUAUUUCUCAUUUUUCUUCAUUUUGCCCAUUUAGUGCUGAUAGUAGCAUUAACUAAUUGCACUUACAGGUGGGGUUUUAGAGGGACACAGAUUAGCCUAUUAAUUUGGUUGGUUUCUGCAGCUCGGUAGUGUAAAAUGCACAUCAGCUUGAAGAGAGGAAACAGUUUAAUGUGGACUAUUUUUAUGCAAUCUUCAAGAACUUGUCAGACGAAUGGCUCAAAGUGUAUUCACACAAUUUAAUCAUUUCUUUCUUGCAACUGGUUGCCUACUGUGCAAGGUGUCUUUGUAUAGACACAGCAAACUAAAUGAAUAGCGUGCAGGCAAAUCGUUGCACCGGUGCUGAGCCCCAUUGAAGCCAGUGAGGCUUGACACAGAGCAGUCUCCCCAUUCAAUAUCAAUUGCUGGCUUAGGACUUCAGAGAGAAAUAGUAGUUGAAAUCUUUCUCCUCAUCUUGAAUGACUCAAUUUGCCCUCACAAAUGUGAUUAGCUAUGGGAUGUGUUUGUUCCAACUUAGGAUCAUGCAUUGUCUGUUUCAUAUAAAUCCUCUUAAGACAUGAGUAUAAGUCACCACUGCCAAUAGCCUUUUCUAUUUUAAAAAAUUUUUCUGUUCUUCGAUGACAGCUCCUCUUCUUGUUUCAAUGGAGUCAUGCUAUCUGCACUUCAUUAAUCAAAGUUAGAUAUCUUUGAAUUAAUUUUCUACUCCAUCCAUACAGUUGUGGUAGGGUUGAAUCACAGAGGGGAACAGUUGUAAGUAUUGAGAAAACAGCAUGAGUAUGAAUUUUUGAAAUCAGUCUUCCAUUAAAACAAAGAAAAAAGUGCAAUUUUAGGUGCUAGUUUGAGAUGACUAAUUCUGGCCUUGAUUUUUUAAAAUCAUUUUACAGGCUAUUGUUGAAAUUAAAGUCACUUUAAAAAGACCUAAACAGAAAUGUUUUUUCUGCUCUCUACUAUCAAACUAAUAAAGCCUCUUCAAAAAGCUAUGCUAGCAUUAUGAUUAAGGAGACACAGACUAAUGAAACAAAACAAAAAAGGCCACUUCAGUCUUGUGCUGGAAGCAACAAAAUGUGUCAGACAACUUUGGUAAAUAAAUUAUGUUGUUUUUCAAGUAUCUAAGGAGAUUACUACAGAUAAUGGAAAAUAAAGCUCUUGAUGUCAGCCUUUUAAAACACUAUAUUUGUCUAUAUAAUGUGAUAAAAAUCUGUGGUCUAAAAUUAGACUUCCAUUAUAUCAAUUUACAAGUUUGAUGUAGUUCUUCACAGGCUUCCUAAAAUACUUCAGUGCCAAUUUUUCUUUUUUAAUGAAAAGUCAAUGCUAGCAGCACACCCUUGUAACAAACCUUAGGCGUGUCCAGAUAUCUUGGUGUCAUUAAGUUUUCACAAAUGGCCAAAAUAAUAAUUGAAAUACAGUGGGUGUUAUGAAAAGAAUAAAUAGACAUGUAAACUACAAGGCACAUACUGUCUAUAUAAGAUAACGGGGGCUGUAUAGUGAAACCUUUUUGAAGCUUCACUGUAGCUGUACUAGUGGAAAAAUGAUAACCAUUUUUCUCUCUUGAAACUUUGGUUCAGAAAUACCAGACAUCAGUCUGUUAUGGCAAGUAUUCAUAAACAAAAAUAUUAAAAAUACAAGUGGCAUUCCAGGCAAAUUUGAGUCUUGAAAAAGUAAGUGUGACAGGCAUGUGAUAUGGUAGAGUUAGGGGUCUGCUGCAUGUGAGUUAAUUUAUUAUGUUUCUUCUGUAAUUCUAAUCCAAAAUGUGGAUUCCAUUUUAAUCCAAAUUGCCUUUGAGACACUUGUUUUCUUUUAAAAUUAGAAAUGGGUGCCAUGCAAAGUCCCAGAAAACCCCUGCAAACUUUGUCAUGCUCAGAUAAAAAUUUUGCCCUUGUCUAAUUACACUUGAUUUUGGGGGGAAAUUUCAAUCAAAACUUCAACUGGAGCUCAUCUCUAACUUUCAUAAAUAAGAGGCUAUCUUAAGAAUUCAGUAUUUUAUUAAAUAGUUUAUUUAAAAAAUCCCAUGGGUUUUCCUUACUUUUACAAGAAAUCUGCAUUAUUUUUCCAAAUGCUUCCUUGCGGGGAGAACUCUUAGUUAGUGGGGUGGGAUGGUAGAAACUUCUGGUUUUCAAUUACCUGUAAUAUGGUAGAGUUAGGGGUCUGCUGCAAAUGGCUUUACCACUGUUAAAAUAUUUGCUUGUUGUGGUUGUUUUUUAACCUUGUAAAUAAACUAGAUUAACUAAUUGGCAUCUGGACACUACUUUGAAAUGCAUUUUUAAAAGCCAGUUUUCAGAGUAAGAAGGUAGGCAAAAACAACAUUCCAUAUUUCACAGUCGUUUGUGUGUUUAUGCACCAGGUUUAUUGUAGUUUGUUCAGGCAGUUUGUGUGUCACCAGGACACAACCAAUUCAAGUUCUUGAUUUUUUUUAAUUUAUUUUUUUUUAGCUCUAAUUAUUUUAAAAGCAUUUAGAAACCUGUAAUUUGGCUGGUCAUUAGUUCAUAGGAAUCAUGAAACAUUUUGCAUAGUUGGAGAGAGAAUGGUUUUCAAUUAAAAGAGAAACUUGGUUCUGCAAAGUGUUGGACAAUCUCAUGACAGAAAAACUCAUUAGCCUGAAAAGGAUUAUUUUAGUCUGGGUUUAUUUUUGUAUUUUAUUUUUAUUUUUUUUACUGCUUGUACGGAACUGAACAGUAAAGCACUCCAGCCCUGGUUUGUUUGAUACCAUAUUGACCUAGUUUUCAGAGAGUCUCUGGAAGUCUGGCAGUGAGAUAUAUUCCUUGUUUAUUGUGUUCACUUUGUACUCAUUGCUAACUUUUAUUUGCGCAAGCAUGUAACCUGAGCACUCAUUGUCUGUGUAAGAUUUUAAAGUUGUGUGUUGAAUUAAAUAAAUUUUUAAGCAAAAAAAAA